rnacentral:lncRNA from 1 species
UCAGAUGUAUAGCUAGAUUAUCGAUUUGAAAUCUGUCUAUUGUUUGGUAUAGGUGUUUAUUGCUAAAAGCUUCCCUCUUAGCACUGCUUUUGCUAAAUUCCAUAGGUUUUUGGAAUGUUGUAUUUCAAAUUUUGUUUGUUUCAAAGAAGUUUUUUAUUUCCUCCUUAAUUUUUUCUUUAACCCAAAGUUGUUCAGGAGCAUGUUGUUUAAUUUCCAUGUAUUUGUAUAGUUUCCAAAAGUUUCUGCUGAGAAAUCUGCUAUUAGUGUGAUGGGGAUUCCUUUAAGUGAUUAGACACUUUUCUGUUGCUAUUUUUAGAAUAUUCUCUUAGUCUUUGACUUUGACAGUUUAACUAUAAUGUGCUAUGGUGAAGACCUUUUUGAAUUUAUCUAUUUGGAGAUCUUUGAGCCUCCGGUAUCUGGAAGUCUAAAUCUCUUGCUAGACUUGGGAAGUGUUCAUCUGUUAUUUUGUUAAAUAGGUUUUCUAAUCCAUUCGUUUUCUGUUGCCUUCUCGUCUACUUGAUCUACUCUAUUAUUUAAGCUUUCAAAUAUAUUUUGCAUUUCAUUCAAU